CUCAAUACCCAGAAAAUACUUUAGUGUGCCCAGAUCCUUAGUCUGAAAGUGUUGAAAGAGAUGUUGCUUCAAUUUAGUAAUACAAUCCUGGUCAUUGCCGGUAAUAACAACGUCGUCAACAUAGACCACCAGAUAAAUACAGAGACUUGAAUCAGAAUGCCGAUAAAAUACAGAGUGAUCAGCUUCACUCCGAGUCAUGCCAAAGUCCUGGAUAACAGUGCUAAACUUACCAAACCAGG
rnacentral:lncRNA from 1 species